CUCUGACCUCCACCUUCAUCCUGAUCGUCUCCUAAAAGGUCGUAUCCUCCGAUCGUAGCUGAUCGUAAACAUUCAAGUUAACGUGUCAAUUUACACCGACUUCUUUUCAAAAUAAAACAUCCGGCUUCUUUUCAAAAUAAAACACUCCGUGUUUCAGGAGGAUCGUAUUUCACACCAUGCAAACGGGCGGAGACGAACAAGUGAAAGGUUUUUAGACGUCAUUUCACCCCGAUGACACCAUGGAUGAGGAGAUGCUGAUUCUAGAAGUCUAGAAGUAGAUUUCCUCCUCUGGAAGGACACA